GUUGGGGAUUAAGAGAACUGUGUUAAGAUCGCACACAACUGCGGCUUUAAUGAAUUUUCAGGAGUCAAUGACUGCAAAACCAAGCAAGAUUGAUUUCUUCGACCUGUAUGAUGGCAUAAUAGUUAUGGCACAUUUGUUACACUCAAUAGAGUUCAAAGAAGUUUCAAUGCUUCAACGUGUCAACAUGCUAAACAUCAGAGGUGCAUCGGGACCGGUGCAAUUUGAAACGUCUAGCGGUGGAAGGAUU